rnacentral:rRNA from 1 species
GAUGAACGCUGGCGGCGUGCCUAAUACAUGCAAGUCGAGCGAACGGACGAGAAGCUUGCUUCUCUGAUGUUAGCGGCGGACGGGUGAGUAACACGUGGAUAACCUACCUAUAAGACUAGGAUAACUUCGGGAAACCGGAGCUAAUACCGGAUGAUAUUUUGAACCGCAUGGUUCAAAAGUGAAAGACGGUCUUGCUGUCACUUAUAGAUGGAUCCGCGCUGCAUUAGCUAGUUGGUAAGGUAACGGCUUACCAAGGCAACGAUGCAUAGCCGACCUGAGAGGGUGAUCGGCCACACUGGAACUGAGACACGGUCCAGACUCCUACGGGAGGCAGCAGUAGGGAAUCUUCCGCAAUGGGCGAAAGCCUGGCGGAGCAACGCCGCGUGAGUGAUGAAGGUCUUCGGAUCGUAAAACUCUGUUAUUAGGGAAGAACAUAUGUGUAAGUAACUGUGCACAUCUUGACGGUACCUAAUCAGAAAGCCACGGCUAACUACGUG